ACACGGCCGUAUCGCGAGAUUUCUCGUCGCUUCCGCCCCGACGCAACUUCCCCGGUGGCGGGUCGGGAGCGACGGGGAAUCCCGCGAGACGGACAGGACGGC
rfam:Brachybacterium nesterenkovii strain CIP104813 genome assembly, contig: Scaffold17